rnacentral:rRNA from 1 species
AUUGAACGCUGGCGGCAGGCCUAACACAUGCAAGUCGAGCGGAUGAGAAGAGCUUGCUCUUCGAUUCAGCGGCGGACGGGUGAGUAAUGCCUAGGAAUCUGCCUGGUAGUGGGGGACAACGUUUCGAAAGGAACGCUAAUACCGCAUACGUCCUACGGGAGAAAGCAGGGGACCUUCGGGCCUUGCGCUAUCAGAUGAGCCUAGGUCGGAUUAGCUAGUUGGUGAGGUAAUGGCUCACCAAGGCUACGAUCCGUAACUGGUCUGAGAGGAUGAUCAGUCACACUGGAACUGAGACACGGUCCAGACUCCUACGGGAGGCAGCAGUGGGGAAUAUUGGACAAUGGGCGAAAGCCUGAUCCAGCCAUGCCGCGUGUGUGAAGAAGGUCUUCGGAUUGUAAAGCACUUUAAGUUGGGAGGAA